rnacentral:rRNA from 1 species
CAGCAGCCACGGUAAUACGAAGGGGGCUAGCGUUGUUCGGAAUUACUGGGCGUAAAGCGCACGUAGGCGGAUAUUUAAGUCAGGGGUGAAAUCCCAGAGCUCAACUCUGGAACUGCCUUUGAUACUGGGUAUCUUGAGUAUGGAAGAGGCGAGUGGAAUUCCGAGUGUAGAGGUGAAAUUCGUAGAUAUUCGGAGGAACACCAGUGGCGAAGGCGGCUCACUGGUCCAUUACUGACGCUGAGGUGCGAAAGCGUGGGGAGCAAAUGGGAUUAGAUACCCGCGUAGUCCCUGUCUCUUAUAC